AAUGAAUUUUCCUCCGCAUCUUGGAAGUUGGGGGAAAAAGAAAAUCGCUAUCUUUAGAGAUGUUGGUGUCCCACAUCCUGUUGGUCUCGUCUCUCCGGGACUGUGGCCCUCCAGGAGAAAUUCCCUUCUGAAGGAGAAGCAACAGCCUAGAGGACCUCUUAGAAAGGAACGCAUCAUCAGCUAAGGAGGAAAAGUAACAAAGAACUUGAAGACUUUCAUGGCUCCCAGGCCCUGGAUGGAGGCAGACGGCAUCAGGCAGCUUCAGACAGAGAAUGGUGGAAGCUGAGGGGCAGCUAGGAUGCGCCUGGGGCUGCAAAGCCCAGGUAGGUACCUGGGAGGGGCUGACAGAGGGGUGCCCGGGGCCCAGAGCCCCUGAUGGUGG
rnacentral:lncRNA from 1 species